GACGAACGCUGGCGGCGUGCUUAACACAUGCAAGUCGAACGAAGAGCGAUGGAAGCUUGCUUCUAUCAAUCUUAGUGGCGAACGGGUGAGUAACGCGUAAUCAACCUGCCCUUCAGAGGGGGACAACAGUUGGAAACGACUGCUAAUACCGCAUACGAUCUAAUCUCGGUAUCGAGGAUAGAUGAAAGGUGGCCUCUACAUGUAAGCUAUCACUGAAGGAGGGGAUUGCGUCUGAUUAGCUAGUUGGAGGGGUAACGGCCCACCAAGGCGAUGAUCAGUAGCCGGUCUGAGAGGAUGAACGGCCACAUUGGGACUGAGACACGGCCCAGACUCCUACGGGAGGCAGCAGUGGGGAAUCUUCCGCAAUGGACGAAAGUCUGACGGAGCAACGCCGCGUGAGUGAUGACGGCCUUCGGGUUGUAAAGCUCUGUUAAUCGGGACGAAAGGCCUCCUUGCGAAUAGUGAGAAGGAUUGACGGUACCGGAAUAGAAAGCCACGGCUAACUACGUG
rnacentral:rRNA from 1 species